AAAACUGUGGAUUUAGUACUACACUGCGUGAGCGGAACGAAAACAACAACACCUAAAAUGUGGAAUAUAGCAUAUAGUCGACAAGAGAAAUCUACGAAAAACAAACAAAACUUUCAACAACGGAUCUCUUGGUUCUCGCAUCGAUGAAGAGCGCAGCGAAAUGCGAUACCUAGUGUGAAUUGCAGCCAUCGUGAAUCAUCGAGUUCUUGAACGCACAUUGCGCCCCUCGGCAUUCCGGGGGGCAUGCCUGUUUGAGCGUCGUUUCCAUCUUGCGCGUGCGCAGAGUUGGGGGAGCGGAGCGGACGACGUGUAAAGAGCGUCGGAGCUGCGACUCGCCUGAAAGGGAGCGAAGCUGGCCGAGCGAACUAGACUUUUUUUCAGGGACGCUUGGCGGCCGAGAGCGAGUGUUGCGAGACAACAAAAAGCUCGACCUCAAAUCAGGUAGGAAUACCCGCUGAACUUAAGCAUAUCAAUAAGCGGAGGAAUAG
rnacentral:misc_RNA from 1 species